UUCACUCCUCUUCUCCCUAAAAACGCAGCAGCACUCGGUCUCUCUUCCUUUCCACCAACCCGUGAGCUCCUCUCCCUCUCAACUCUCAUCUCUUCUUCACACAAGCUCGGAUUAGCAUGGGAAUGGGCUGAGCUCGUGUGAAGGACAAAGAGUAACGGUUUCAUGGGCUGAAAACAGUAGGAUCAUGUUCGGAUUGGAGACUUUAAGUGGUUCUCCAAUGUAGAGUCCAAGUGACUAGAGUCCAAGGAGUGUUCGAGUUGGAGUCCAAUGCAGCCAAGGUGGGUAUUCCACUCACUGAGAAAAUAUAUAUUUUUAUAUGUAUUGGAUUGAUAAAAAUAUAUAUAUUGUUUAUGAAA